UUUUUCUUCUUCACACAAACAUAAUAACAGGUCGAGUUAAAGUCAUUGAACACAAGUUCAAUCUUCACGACACUCCCCCUUCCCCUUAUUGUUCGAUUUCAUGGUUCCCUUUUGAAUAGUCAGAUUGAAUGAUAUCUCCACAUCCUCCUCUUCAAUCUUUAGAUCAGAGUCUGAAAAAUUUGAGAUAAGUCUUGAAAAGGUGAUAACAGCAAGGUGAUAUCUCCACGUUCUUUCCUCCCAUUUUCGAAUGCAACUGCAGGGGUGAUAACAGCAAGUUACAACUCCAUUGAACUCAUCAUACAACAAAACUUUAUGAAUAUAAACACAUCAACAUGGAACAAAAGCAUUUUCCCAAAUACAUCAACAAGACAUAAAAUGGCUAGGAAUCAACAUCCACAUAUUCAGCAGGACAACACUAGUAGAACAAAACAUAUGCAAAUUCACAUAUUCAGCAAUGUUGGUUAAAUUUCGAAAUCGUCCAAAUAACUAAUUCUACCAAAACAACAUUUUAUUCCCAUCAUUACAAAUAUAAAAUACUCGUGCAUUUUAUGAACAAACGACUGCUCCAGAAUGGGGGUUCAAUUUCAAAAUCGUCCAUAAUCGCCCUGAGGCUUCGUCCCAACUCAAAACACAAAGCAAUAGAGGAGAAAAGCCCUUACAGUAAUUCGAACCCAUCUCACAUUUAAAGGUCCGUUUGGCACAGGCUUUGUCCCAAAAAUGAGUCAACAACUCGAAGACAUUUCUUACACGAACACAACAAUAAUGGAGAAAAGCUCUUACAAUGCUUGGAAGUCAUCGUGCUGAUCUGGGCUGACUGUCAACGGCAAGCACUUGGGACUGCAGACCUCUAACAGCACGAUGACUUCCAAGCAUUGUAGAACGGGUGGAGAAAUGGGAGAUUUGUUCUGGCCAAGGAGCAAAAUCAAAUGCCGAAAACAUGACAAUAAUGGAGAAAAGCCCUUAC
rnacentral:lncRNA from 1 species